rnacentral:rRNA from 1 species
CCUACGGGUGGCAGCAGUGGGGAAUAUUGCACAAUGGGGGAAACCCUGAUGCAGCGACGCCGCGUGAGUGAAGAAGUAAUUCGUUAUGUAAAGCUCUAUCAGCAGGGAAGAAAAUGACGGUACCUGAGUAAGAAGCCCCGGCUAACUACGUGCCAGCAGCCGCGGUAAUACGUUGGGGGCAAGCGUGAUCCGGAUUUACUGGGUGUAAAGGGAGCGUAGAUGGCAGUGCAAGUCUGGAGGGAAAGGCGUGGGCUCAACCCCCGGACUGCUCUGGAAACUGUAUGGCUGGAGUGCAGGAGAGGUAAGUGGAAUUCCUAGUGUAGCGGUGAAAUGCGUAGAUAUUAGGAGAAACACCAGUGGCGAAGGCGGCUUACUGGACUGUAACUGACGUUGAGGCUCGAAAGCGUGGGGAGCGAACAGGAUUAGAUACCCUUGUAGUC